rnacentral:rRNA from 1 species
AACGAACGCUGGCGGCAUGCCUAACACAUGCAAGUCGAACGAUGCCUUCGGGCCUAGUGGCGCACGGGUGCGUAACGCGUGGGAAUCUGCCUUUCGGUUCGGAAUAACUCAGGGAAACUUGAGCUAAUACCGGAUAACGUCGCAAGACCAAAGAUUUAUCGCCGAAAGAUGAGCCCGCGUAGGAUUAGCUAGUUGGUGAGGUAAAGGCUCACCAAGGCGACGAUCCUUAGCUGGUCUGAGAGGAUGAUCAGCCACACUGGGACUGAGACACGGCCCAGACUCCUACGGGAGGCAGCAGUGGGGAAUAUUGGACAAUGGGCGAAAGCCUGAUCCAGCAAUGCCGCGUGAGUGAUGAAGGCCUUAGGGUUGUAAAGCUCUUUUACCCGGGAAGAUAAUGACGGUACCGGGAGAAUAAGCCCCGGCUAACUCCGUG